rnacentral:lncRNA from 1 species
UCUUUUUCUCUCGCUCCCUCUUUCUAUCAUUUUAAAUCCAGAAGCCCUAAACUCUGCUCUGUAAUCAGCGUGCUAACCCGGAUCACUGGAAUCCAAGCUUAAUACCAGGAGGCUAUAAAAAUCAAAACCCUAAAUCUACAAAUAUGUGGGGUUUUGUAUACACUACUAGUUCAGCGUUGUUAUUGGACAAAGAGUUAGCCGAUAGUGAUAGUAAUAUGACCACAGUCACAAGAACUGCCACCGUGACAAAUACUGAUUUGAGUGACUUACUGUGAAAGUGAAGAAAUAUGUUACGAAGCACCGAAGGCUUAAAUAAAGUAGCUAUGUUACCAUAGUAAAAGAAAGAAAAUGUGUUUUGUAAAAAUAGGGUUUAUCUCUGUAAAAAAAAAAAUCUUUUGUUGUAAUUUGGCUUUUAUUCCAUCUAUUUAAUAUUAAAAACAUUGGUUUUUUACAACUUUGAAAUUUUUCUAACUACGGUCCUGAUAAAAGUUUCCGUUACGAAUUUACUAAACACCGAUACCACUGCUGCAUCUGUCCGCGGCUCCCGCUCAGGGUCGGAUCGAGGGUCCUGACAGGCGAUAUGUGGUGCAAGUUUUGAUCAGAGUGUUGAAGAUACGGAAGGAGAUUGUGUGGUGGAGGUGUGGUAAUGGAACCCACCAAUUCUUCAAAUCAAGGACAAGUUGAUACAUGUAUAUAUUGUAUUAAAAAGGUGUCAUUUUCACAAUAAAAGUGUUAAUAAUGGAUUGACAAAAAUACUUAAAUGCUUGGGGC